rnacentral:rRNA from 1 species
AGAGUUUGAUCCUGGCUCAGGACGAACGCUGGCGGCGUGCUUUAUACAUGCAAGUCGAACGAUGAAGUUCCUUCGGGAAUGGAUUAGUGGCGAACGGGUGAGGAACACGUGAGAAACCUGCCUUUCAUUCUGGAAUAACACCGGGAAACCGGUGCUAAUACCGGAUACUCCGUCUUGGCGGCAUCGCCGAGCCGGGAAAAAAUUUUGAUGAAAGAUGGUCUCGCGGCCUAUCAGCUAGUUGGUGAGGUAAUGGCUCACCAAGGCGACGACGGGUAGCCGGCCUGAGAGGGCGACCGGCCACACUGGGACUGAGACACGGCCCAGACUCCUACGGGAGGCAGCAGUAGGGAAUAUUGGGCAAUGGGCGCAAGCCUGACCCAGCGACGCCGCGUGAGGGAUGAAGGUCUUCGGAUUGUAAACCUCUUUCAGUAGGGAAGAAGCGAAAGUGACGGUACCUAAAGAAGAAGCACCGGCUAACUAUGUGCCAGCAGCCGCGGUAAUACAUAGGGUGCAAGCGUUGUCCGGAAUUAUUGGGCGUAAAGAGCUCGUAGGUCGUUUGUCGCGUCGAUUGUGAAAAUCUGAGGCUCAACCUCAGACCUGCAGUCGAUACGGGCAAACUAGAGUGUGGUAGGGGAGACUGGAAUUCCUGGUGUAGCGGUGGAAUGCGCAGAUAUCAGGAGGAACACCAAUGGCGAAGGCAGGUCUCUGGGCCAUAACUGACACUGAGGAGCGAAAGUGCGGGGAGCGAACAGGAUUAGAUACCCUGGUAGUCCGCACCGUAAACGGUGGGCACUAGUUGUGGGAACCUUCCACGGUUUCCGCGACGCAGCAAACGCAUUAAGUGCCCCGCCUGGGGAGUACGAUCGCAAGAUUAAAACUCAAAGGAAUUGACGGGGCCCCGCACAAGCAGCGGAGCAUGCGGCUUAAUUCGACGCAACGCGAAGAACCUUACCAAGGCUUGACAUAUAGCGAAAAGUGGCAGAGAUGUCAUGUCCGCAAGGGCGCUAUACAGGUGGUGCAUGGUUGUCGUCAGCUCGUGUCGUGAGAUGUUGGGUUAAGUCCCGCAACGAGCGCAACCCUUGUCCAAUGUUGCCAACAUUCAGUUGGGGACUCAUUGGAGACCGCCGGGGUCAACUCGGAGGAAGGUGGGGAUGACGUCAAGUCCUCAUGCCCCUUAUGUCCAGGGCUGCAAACACGCUACAAUGGCCGAUACA